rnacentral:rRNA from 1 species
AUUGAACGCUGGCGGCAGGCCUAACACAUGCAAGUCGAGCGGAUCGGCGGCCGGGGACGUGAUGCCUAGGACUCUGCCUGUUCCUGGGGGAUACCGUCAGGAACCGGGCGCUCAUACCACAUCCUAUCAGCUGCGCCUAGGUCGGAUUAGCUAGUUGGUGGGGUAAAGGCCAACCAAGGCGACGAUCCGUAACUGGUCUGAGAGGAUGAUCAGUCACACUGGAACUGAGACACGGUCCAGACUCCUACGGGAGGCAGCAGUGGGGAAUAUUGGACAAUGGGCGAAAGCCUGAUCCAGCCAUGCCGCGUGUGUGAAGAAGGGCUUCGGAUUGUAAAGCACUUUAAGUGGGGAGGCGUUACCAACAGAAGAAGCACCGGCUAACUCCGUGCCAGCAGCCGCGGUAAUUC